GCAAUCUACCUUUUACAGGGGAAUAGCCCAGAGAAAUUUGGAUUAAUGCCCCAUAGUGUAAUUGAAUGGCAUCAUUUGAUUACUAAAGUUCCAACGGUAAAAGAUGAGCAUGCGUCCUAUUAGCUAGUUGGUGUGGUAACGGCACACCAAGGCAACGAUAGGUAGGGGUCCUGAGAGGGAGAUCCCCCACACUGGUACUGAGACACGGACCAGACUCCUACGGGAGGCAGCAGUGAGGAAUAUUGGACAAUGGGCGCAAGCCUGAUCCAGCCAUGCCGCGUGCAGGAAGAAGCAUCUAUGGUGUGUAAACUGCUUUUGUACGGGAAGAAACACUCCGACGUGUCGGAGCUUGACGGUACCGUAAGAAUAAGGAUCGGCUAACUCCGUGCCAGCAGCCGCGGUAAUACGGAGGAUCCAAGCGUUAUCCGGAAUCAUUGGGUUUAAAGGGUCCGUAGGCGGUCUUGUAAGUCAGUGGUGAAAGCCCAUCGCUCAACGGUGGAACGGCCAUUGAUACUGCAGGACUUGAAUUAUUGGGAAGUAACUAGAAUAUGUAGUGUAGCGGUGAAAUGCUUAGAGAUUACAUGGAAUACCAAUUGCGAAGGCAGGUUACUACCAAUUGAUUGACGCUGAUGGACGAAAGCGUGGGUAGCGAACAGGAUUAGAUACCCUGGUAGUCCACGCCGUAAACGAUGGAUACUAGCUGUUGGGAGCAAUCUCAGUGGCUAAGCGAAAGUGAUAAGUAUCCCACCUGGGGAGUACGAACGCAAGUUUGAAACUCAAAGGAAUUGACGGGGGCCCGCACAAGCGGUGGAGCAUGUGGUUUAAUUCGAUG
rnacentral:rRNA from 1 species